GCCCCCGUGGCCCAAUGGACAAGGCGCCUGACCACGGAUCAGGAGAUUGAGAGUUCGAUUCUCUCCGGGGGUA
rnacentral:tRNA from 1 species